UUGUUUUUCGAUCGCUACUGUACAGUCAAUGGCUGCAUGGCGGCGAUGAGCAUUGGAACUUGGAAGUGGAUGCAUGUGCAACUUGAUGUGUCGUUGCAUAUGGGAGGCCCGUUGGUAAUGUUCGCAGACUGGUCAUUUGAUGAUACGUAUGCACAGCGUAGUAUGUCCUUCAACAAUCUGUUAUGUCCAACCAUGGAAUGAGUCGCAUGCGACUAAGUUAACCAAACAGGGCAACAACAAUUAGUCAGCAAUGGAAUUAGUCAGUGGAAAACAACACAUUCAUUCCCGAGGAUGGCUUUGAGUUUAUCUAUGCUUAUUCAUGAUUGAAAUUUGCCAUGUUUUCAGACCAACUGGAAGGAUUCCUCUUUUUCACAGAACUUUAACAUUUUCAUGGUAUAUUUAAUUCUUUGUUGGUGGAUUGUCACUUGGCAUCAUUUGAAUGGUGUGGUCCAUAUCAGCAGUGUUAUGAUGCAUAAUCAUGUAGAACUGCACAAUGAUGGGUUUGUAUAAACAAGCUUGAAAUAACAAACCAACAGUGUUUUUGGUGUGGCUUACACAUACAACUCUACAACAUGUUGAUGUUAGCUAAAUUGUUAUUAAUCAAAGGACAAGGUAGUAUGAAAUGAAAUAUCUUCACUUGCAAGUUUGUGCAUAUGGAUUUGUUUGAGAUGACUCUUGAGGCAGGAAGCUUUUCCUGCUUUUUACGAAAAGGGACAUUGGGUGCCUUAAUUUCUAAUACCAACCAAGUGUCAUUGCAAAGAUAGGUAAAAGAUAUAUCAAUAUAGAUUAUUCUCUGAGUGAUGGUGACACAUGGUAAAAAGAGAGAGCAGUAUGAAUAUUUGCCGCAUCAUUUACUUCUUUUACUUAUAUCUUCAAGGUAUCUUAUUGACUUCUAUUAGUUUUAUUUGUGGAAAGAAUAUCUUGAGUGGGAGAAUUGGAUCACAAUUGACUAGAUGUUUUACUAUUUUAAAUGAGUUUAUCACAAAGAAUUUUUUACUGGCUGUGCUAUCACGUUUUUCAUCAUUCAUUCAAUUUAAUUUCAAAGUUAAUACGGAAAAAGAGAAGUUCUUUAUAAUAUUUUCCUCUAUCUGAAUCUCUUGAUUCUUGGAGGUGUAAUCAGGUGAUGUUAGAAUUUGUUGUUAAUAAUUUAAGUUUUUCGAAUUGUGCUUUCAGGUCUUUGGGAUGUACCUGAUAAAUUGUGGCGGCCGCAAAAUCAUUUUAUGACUUGGUUCAAUCCAGGGCUUGGUUUUUUCGAUAGUGGUUUACAGUUUUAAUUUGCAGAGAUUCUGGAGGCACCUGAUGUCUUUCAUUGGCGUUGGUGUCACUCUGUGACAGAAGAGAAUGCCACUGAUGUUAUGUUGUCAGUGUAAAUAAAAAAUAUUCAGUAUCA